ensembl:lncRNA
CAAAUAUAGUGACUCAUGACACAGGAUACAUUUUUUUUUAAUUAUUUUGUUCGCCCAGUUGGUCAGUGAUUUGCAGAGAAAACGCUCAUCCAGUAAUUUACUGUAAUCUGCUUUACAUUUCAAGGGUUCAGUUGAGACAUUGUGUGGUAGUUUAGUGGAUGGAAACACUUGUGGUUUCAGACCUGAAGGCCCCUUAACAUGGCAGAAUAACUAGAACACCAAAACCAUGAUUCUAUAGUGACUGAUUCUGAUUGUAUUGUGACUGUACAUAGUAGGAUUCUGAUUGUAUUGUGACUGUACAUAGUAGGAUUCUGAUUGUAUUGUGACUGUACAUAGUAGGAUUCUGAUUGUAUUGUGACUGUACAUAGUAGGAUUCUGAUUGUAUUGUGACUGUACCUAAUAGGUUUGAUUAUUGUAUCGCUGGUUGCAUUAACGUCCAGAGAGGCCAAAGCUGUCACAGUCGCUGGGAGGCAGGACACAAGGCAUUACUUCAUUAGGAUCCCAUAUUAGAGGCAAUGCAGGGCAGCUGCCUCUAACUCAAUCAAUAAAAUGUAUUUAUAAAGCCCUUUUUACAACAGCAGUGCUUUUACAGAGACCCCCAGCCUUAAACCCCAAGAAGCAACUACCUUUGGAGCAAGGGAUGUAACAUUUAAGAGUAUCAUUUUGAGAUGCGAGGUGAUGCAGUCAUUUCUAUUUGUGAAGGAAGUGGAGGAAGGCUUUAUCUUAAUAAGGUUGUUUUUGUUAGCACUACCUUGUUUAACUUUUCUCAGCCUGGAACGAGUCACAGUGGCAAGAGGUAAAGCUGUACUAACUAUUCUGGCUAUGCUAUCGACAGACUCCACUAUGCUAGCAGGCUGGCUAACAGCCUGACCUGCACCAAGAGGGCAUCCCUGCUGUCAGGUCCUGCCUAUCACUCCUAGACAAACAUACAGAGGCAUUUCUUUACACAGGAUAUGACACAAGCAGGAUGUUGUAGGUUUUUAGGCCUCAGUCUAACUUUCUCAGCGGGCAGAAAUUAUACCUAAAUUAAUACUAGAGGGCUUUCGGGUGGCACAUUGUCUGAGUUUGUCUGUAUGUUUUCCCGUGACAUCAAGUGACUUUGGUGUUAAAGGUGUGCACCUCGUCGUUAGACCCUCCCCAUCACAUCACAGGACAUGGGUUUCAGAGAAAAAGACCACAAGCUGAACAUUUUCCACUCGCUUGAGCCAAUCACUGCUCUGCUGCCCUUUAAUGGUGAAGUCGAUCUAGUCACCAUCACGGAAAUACACGCCAGCGACUCUCUGACAACAUCAGACCCUGCUACUCUCCGAUAACAUCAGAACCUGCUACUCAGACAGAUGGACAGGUUGGGGGUUGCUCUCAUCAUAAUCUUAUGCCAACUUGUAGGUGCUGUUUCCUCCAGUCAAGAUGGGAUCUCUGGAUCAGAGGUGGAGCUGAUAGUAAGACCAGGAAACAAUGUGACUCUUUACUGUGACUGCAGGACAUCCACUGGAGUAGAUAUUAUGUGGUAUAGGAACUGCUCUCACAAGCACCAGCCUCCUCUUGUUAUUUCAUCUUACCAGGAUUCUGGUAAAUCCUUAGAAGAAUAUUUUCAAAAUGUUACUCCUCGGUUUACUUUGUUGUGGAACCCUUCUAACAACACCUAUGAUCUACUGAUUGAGAACAUCACUGAAUCUGACCUGGGACUCUACUACUGUGGGACUAUGGAAACUAAGGUGAACAUUGGACAAUCUGUUGAAAAUCAACACUUCUACAGCUAUGGAAAUGUCACCACAAGGCUUUCAUUAGACAUCAGUCCAACCAAGCCCUCCUCCUGCAAUACUGAAGACUGUGGUCUGUGUUGGACUCUGAUGUUCAGUCUGUGUCCUGUGUCUGCGCUCCUCUCCUCUCUCCUCUCCUCCUCCUGUGUUUACUCCUUCUGCAGAAAAAGAAACGCAACAAUGGAGACAGCAGAGGUUCCUCUGAACAGGAUCAACACCACAGGAAGUGGCAGCAGAGAGAAGGAGGAACAAGACCUGUGUUACGCCUCGCUGGAUAUCCGUCAGGGACAGAAGAGACCAAAGAAGAAGAAAGUGCAGAACUCUGACUUCAGUACCUAUUCAGCCAUCAAAUACCAGCAGAGUGUGACCUAAACCAGCCAUCAAUACCAGGAGACAGCCCUUACAGAAAUACAAAUGUUUUUUGUUUAAUUUUAAUGAAAUUAGAGUUCAUACUGUGUAAAAAAACAAACAGUAAAAAAGAGUCUCCACAAUAUUUAGUACAUUUUGCUGUCUUUAUUAACCAAGA